CCCUUAGAUGUUCUGGGCCGCACGCGCGCUGCAAUGAUUGUCUCAGCAUGUUUUGGGUGUGUAAAUACCCAGGAAUCCCGAGUAACAAUCGUGAUGGGGCUAGACCCUUGCAAUUUUUGGUCUCCAACGAGGAAUUCCUAGUAAAGGCAGGUCAUUAACCUGCCUUGAUUACGUCCCUGCCCUUUGUACACACCGCCCGUCGCACCUACCGAUUGAAUGGUCCGGUGAAAUCUCCAGACGUGGUUUUACCAUGAAAGCUGAUUGAACCUUAUCAUUUAGAGGAAGGUGAAGUCGUAACA
rnacentral:rRNA from 1 species